CGCAGUACUUACCUAGUUUCGUGCGCGAUUAUUGUUGAAAGUUUGGCACUGCACAAACACCGCUGUCAUGUGAUUUUCGUCUGUUGACUUGCCUUUACGCACGGUUUUACGCAUGCGCUUAUACCGACACACAUUGGACUGGAGGGGAACUGGAGAUUAUAAAGAAAAUAUUGAAGACAUACGCAAUGUUUUAAUCAAUCAGAGAAGUUUUUUAUCUUUAUAAUAUAUUCACAAUGCGCCACUAAAUAUUCCUCUAUGAAAUUGUAAAUUAAUCACCAUUACGUACGAAAGGAACGUGAUGCACGCUCCAGACCAGGAGGUGGCGGUAGUGCUUUAAAACCGAUGGUGGCCAAACGCAGAUUGUAAACAGUGAGCAGAAGAAGACAGUCAACUAGAAAGAAAAGCACGUUUUUAUUCGACGGAAUUUGUGCAACAAAAUAAGAACAUCAGAUCACCAAAUCGAUCGUUCUGGAGAGAGAAGUUGGACCUUGUCUGUUUCUCCACGUGUGCAGAAGAGGGCGAGGCUUAAUCACUGACUCCAUCUGAGCUCCGGCUGCAGGGCUAAUCACUCUUCUUUGUAUAUGUUAAAUGGUGAACUUUUAAUAUUGGAUCACUGACAAACCAGACAAUAAACACUGUUUCAUAA